rnacentral:lncRNA from 1 species
UCUGUGUGUGUUACAUUUUAGCGUUGUGUUUCCGUUGUGUCGUUUGUUUUCUCUUAUUUUUGAGUGUGAAUUCACAUUACUAUAAGACGUGUGACGGUACUUAUCUAUCCCAAAUUCAUGUAUUUGGUUUUGAUGUUAUAUUUGUUAUUCUCAUAGGAUUUUGUCUAAUGCUUAGUACGUUUCUGUGUGUGUUACAUUUUAAUGUUGUGUCGUUGUUCUCCUCUUAUAUUUAAUGCGUUUCCCUCAGUUUUAGUAUGUUACCCCGAUUUUGUUUUUUGUCCAUGGAUUUAUGAGUUUUGAACAACGGUAUACUACUGUUGCCUUUAUUUAUU